CCUUCGUCAGCCCCUCCUGAAUGAGCUGUGUUCCCUCCACCCUGCCCAGUGCCAGCGUCCUGCUUGGUAAUUAUAGCUCCUUGAACCCAGCCGAGCUGGGGCUGGGAGGAAGACAGCAGAAACCUAACCAAAGCUUCUCAGAAAGCCUGAACCUUUCAGACAAAGAGACAGAGAGUAAGUGAAAGGGGAAACAGAAAAAAAUGAAACAACAAGAAAAAAAAGUGAAGCGAUUUUAGCCUGCCUUGAAUGACUUCGCCAAAGACAGUGGUCUAUGGUCUACAAGAAACCUCCCGGAGAUAGAACUAGGAUCUUCCCGGCAUUUUGGCAGCUUGGACCUGCAGGCGCACCAGGAGCAAGGCUUGGGCUCCGCUAAGAUCCUCCCCUGAAGGUUUGCCUCACAGUUCACACCUGUUUUCUUUAUCUGCAAAACAAAGAGAGCCCCUCAGAGGGCGCCUGCAGAAGAUACCCUGGGUGUGUGAAAGUCCUCUAGACAGGGCUACAGGUUCCCUGAGGAAGCCACAUGCCGGGGAAGAUCUGGCAGAUUUUCUGGCCUGGCUGGUCUUCCAUUCUGCCUUCCUUUCUUCUCUCCCUUUCCUUCCUUUUUCCCUUGUCUCCUGGUGUUCUUUUACCCUGCUUUUCCCAGUUGUUUUCUGUCCACCCACAGCCAGCGUGACUCAAGGUCCCGCAGCCUGGCAUGGCCUUCUGGUGGACAAGUGGAUGUUGCAGGUGACUUCUAAGGAGCUGCUUCCCCUGGAACCCUAGUGACCCAGGACGUCUGUGUAGCCUUUCUCCCCUGAGAGGGGCAGACCUGCCCUGCGUGGGAGACCUGGCACUGGGUCCCAUGGGAAAGGAGGAUGAAACCAUCUUUAAUGGAAUGAAUUAUUAAGCAUCUAACAUUUAUUUAUUCAAGUAGUUGCCUGGAUGCCCUGGAUUUUUUCUUUAGCAGAAUGAAAACACACUUUUUUUUCUCUUACCUGAGGUCCUUCAACAGUGACGGGCUUGUGGCCAUAGGGUCUGGACUUCCCCAGAACUGGAGAUGCUCUCCGUGCUCCCCCAGAGCACGUAAUUUUCUCCACACUCUGGCCAGACUCCCGGCUGCCAGGACCUGGGUCUUUCCUGCCCCGUCACCCCCCACAUAGCCGGAAGUGCUGGGACUUGGUGUCCUCCCCAUCUCCAGUCUUCAGCCAGUGACUGGCAGGAGUUGAGUGAGUACGCAGGCUCCUCCUUCAUCCUCAGGUCACACUCAACUGCCCUAUGUGUGAGGUCCUUGCAUUGCUUCCCCAUGCAACUCCCUUGGCCUCGUUCCUGUGGGCAGGGUCUGCUCCUUGGACAGUAACUGAGACUGCGGGGAAAGCUUGCAUUUUGAAAAUUUGGCUGCUUGAAGGACAAGUAGGAUGGAUUAGUCAAGGUCCAGGGGUCAGAGGUUGAGGCAGUGGGAGGAGGAAGGUAACUCAACUUCAAAUAAAGGGAGCUGAAUCCCAGGGGCUGGGAAAGGAGCAGGUUUACACUGGAGGAAGAGAGCAGGACUCCCUGGAAAAGAGCCUCCUGCAGAAUGCAUGUGUGAGCGCCAGUGAGGUCCCUCAGGGGGAGAGGAAGGCCUCAGGGGGCCAUGCUGGGAGUGACUGUAGCCACCAAGGAGUGAGCAACAGUCCAUCAUGCAGGACCUGGCCGUCUGGCGGUCAGCUGGGCAGGCAGCCUGGGGCCUGGGCUUGGGGAGGUAUGGCUUUGGUAUGGGAAGAAGCAACAGACAGGUGCCCACCCAGAGAAACACUCGCCCUGGACCCUUGUCAGUCCCCUAGGCUUCCCGAUGUUUGGUCAAAGGGAAGAAUAACGAUUCUGACGUCUUGUCAGUGCUGGUGUACUGAAGGAUGGAAAGGUCUACUUGCCUUUGGGAAAAUACAAAUCACAGUUCUAUCCUUGACUCUGUGGCACGCACACACACAGCACUGUUCUCACCACGGUUGUUGUUAGUGGUAAUGACAGUGACAAUGGUCAGGGCAGUCGAGGUCUCACGGGGUACAGAGUCACUUCCUGUGAACCAGGACUGAGUGUGCAUCUUCAGGUGACCCUCCUCUGUGCAGUGGAGGUAGUGCCCUCCUUCUGGCACCUUCCCUUUGCAGGGUGUCUUCAGUCUUGUCAGUUGGAUGCCACUGAGCAGAACUCAGAGGAAGCGCUUUACAGAAACGCCCUGGCAGGGCUGCAAAGUGUCUGUCUGGGCUGCCCAACAGAGCAAUGGCACAUGGGACAGGAAAAUCAGACAUGCUUUUCCUCCUGGGCACCCUGGUUGCCCCUUCUCUGACCUGUGCUGCUGCUUUUUCCCUGACCUCUCUCUUGUGGCACUAACAGACAAGGACAAUAGAAGUCUGUCUGUCCACCUUAUGAGGUCUGUGGCCUCAGUGACCCUGGGACCUGAGUUGUCAAGUCUCACCAGCACCAGAGAUACUGAGAAAGGAACCUUUCUCCAAAAGAAGACGCCGCGCCCAGCAGACAGGAGUCUCAAGCUAAAACCGGAUGCCACCCCAUCAGCAGCUGCGCUGAUGAGACCGUGGACUCCUGGGGUGUUUGAGACCUGGAGCUCCCCUGAGCCCGAGACAAGCAACCACCUCUGAAGGGAAGAUCACAAGAGCUUCAUCCAGAGUAACUGCAGAUGAGAGCCCUUGAGCCAAGAUGGUGAAGGGAAGGCUGAGAUUCUCAAGACUUUCACAAGCAUACAGUGAGCUCAGGAUGUGGGCCGUGCAUCUUGUUUCUAUACAGAAAUCCCUUCUCUCUGAACUCCAGACAGAGGAAUCGCCCACAAGGAGACAUCAGUGGCCUUUUGCAACCUCUCCUUGGAGGUGCCGCUCCUUUGCGUUACCUCAUGCUUGUUACGUGGAGACUGCUUGAUAAGUUUCUCCUUGAACUUGGUGCCAGGAAAAAUUGCUCUUUCAGUUCUGAUUCCAGACUCAUUGUACAACGAGAAGCGUAGGAGCCAGCACAUUUCCCUUUCAUCCAGGAAACCCAGAGAUAAAUCUGGCCCUCUGCUGUAGUAAAUAACGCGUCCCAGGUGCCUUGAGACAGACGGUUCUGCUUGCACUCUCUUUCCUGAGUUGUGUUCUGUUCUCACUGUUUCCUUUGAUCCUUUUGGGAAAUAGCAGGGAUAAGUUUCCCCCAAAUAAAUCCAUGCACACAAAUGCAUGUGUAUACCACA